GAUGACCGCUGGCGGCGUGCCUAAUUCAUGCCAGUUGAGCGCACAGAUGAGGAGCUUGCACCUCUGACGUUAGCGGCGGACGGGUGAGUAACACGUGGAUAACCUACCUAUAAGACUGGGAUAACUUCGGGACCCCGGAGCUAAUACCGGAUAAUAUAUUGAACCGCAUGGUUCAAUAGUGAAAGACGGUUUUGCUGUCACUUAUAGAUGGAUCCGCGCCGCAUUAGCUAGUUGGUAAGGUAACGGCUUACCAAGGCAACGAUGCGUAGCCGACCUGAGAGGGUGAUCAGCCACACUGGAACUGAGACACGGUCCAGACUCCUACGGGAGGCAGCAGUAGGGGAUCUGCCGCAAUGAGCUAAAGCCUAACAUAGGAAUACCGCGUGUGUGAUUAAAGUCUACGGAACGGUAGACACUUGUAGUAGGGAAGAACAAAGGUUUGAGUUAGUGUGCACGUCUGGACGGGACCUAAUCAGAGAGCCACGGCUAGCUACGGG
rnacentral:rRNA from 1 species